rnacentral:rRNA from 1 species
UACGUAGGGUGCAAGCGUUAAUCGGAAUUACUGGGCGUAAAGCGUGCGCAGGCGGUGAUGUAAGACAGAUGUGAAAUCCCCCGGGCUCAACCUGGGAACUGCAUUUGUGACUGCAUGGCUGGAGUGCGGCAGAGGGGGGGAUGGAAUUCCGCGUGUAGCAGUGAAAUGCGUAGAGAUGCGGAGGAACACCGAUGGCGAAGGCACCCCCCCUGGGCUAACACUGACGCUCAGGCACGAAAGCGUGGGGGAGCAAACAGG